rnacentral:rRNA from 1 species
GUGGGGAAUUUUGGACAAUGGGCGCAAGCCUGAUCCAGCAAUGCCGCGUGCAGGAAGAAGGCCUUCGGGUUGUAAACUGCUUUUGUACGGAACGAAAAGGCUCUGGCUAAUACCUGGAGCUCAUGACGGUACCGUAAGAAUAAGCACCGGCUAACUACGUGCCAGCAGCCGCGGUAAUACGUAGGGUGCGAGCGUUAAUCGGAAUUACUGGGCGUAAAGCGUGCGCAGGCGGUGCUGUAAGACAGGCGUGAAAUCCCCGGGCUCAACCUGGGAAUUGCGCUUGUGACUGCAGCGCUGGAGUGCGGCAGAGGGGGAUGGAAUUCCGCGUGUAGCAGUGAAAUGCGUAGAUAUGCGGAGGAACACCGAUGGCGAAGGCAAUCCCCUGGGCCUACACUGACGCUCAUGCACGAAAGCGUGGGGAGCAAACAGGAUUAGAAACCCGUGUAGUCC